UACGGGGGGGGCAAGCGUUGUUCGGAAUUACUGGGCGUAAAGGGUGUGCAGGCGGGGAAGCAAGUGGUGUAUGAAAUCUCCCAGCUUAACUGGGAUAGGUUAUGCCAGACUGCUUUUCUAGAGGACGAGAGAGGGGGGUGGAAUUCCGGGUGUAGUGGUGAAAUGCGUAGAGAUCCGGAGGAACCCCAGAGGCGAAGGCGGCCCCCUGGCUCGUACCUGACGCUCAGCCACGAAAGCAUGGGGAGCGAACGGG
rnacentral:rRNA from 1 species